rnacentral:rRNA from 1 species
AGUUUGAUCCUGGCUCAGGAUGAACGCUGGCGGCGUGCCUAAUACAUGCAAGUCGAACGCGAAAGGUCUGAAGCCUUCGGGCGGAGGGCCGAGUAGAGUGGCGAACGGGUGAGGAACACGUAGGUGACCUGCCCCGGAGAGGGGGAUAACCGUCGGAAACGGCGGCUAAUACCCCAUAAGCUCACGCGAGUUAGAGGGCGUGUGAGAAAAGCUCCGGCGCUCCGGGAGGGGCCUGCGGCCCAUCAGCUAGUUGGUAGGGUAAAGGCCUACCAAGGCGAAGACGGGUAGGGGGCCUGAGAGGGUGGUCCCCCACAUGGGAACUGAGACACGGUCCCAACUCCUACGGGAGGCAGCAGUAGGGAAUAUUGCACAAUGGGCGCAAGCCUGAUGCAGCAACGCCGCGUGCCCGAGGACGGCCUUCGGGUUGUAAAGGGCUUUUCUGGCUGACGAGGAAGGACGGUAGGCCAGGAAUAAGCGUCGGCUAACUACGUGCCAGCAGCCGCGGUAAAACGUAGGACGCGAGCGUUAUCCGGAUUUACUGGGCGUAAAGCGCGGGCAGGCGGUGGUCCAAGUCGGACGUGAAAGCUCCCGGCUCAACUGGGAGAGGUCGUUCGAAACUGGGCCGCUAGAGGGCAGUAGAGGGGCGUGGAAUUCCGGGUGGAGUGGUGAAAUGCGUAGAGAUCCGGAGGAACACCAGAGGCGAAGGCGGCGCCCUGGGCUGCACCUGACGCUGAGCCGCGAAAGCUAGGGGAGCGAACGGGAUUAGAAACCCCGGUAGUCCUAGCCGUAAACGAUGUCCACUAGAUGUCUGGGCGGAGCGCCUGGGCGUCGCAGCUAACGCGUUAAGUGGACCGCCUGGGGAGUACGGCCGCAAGGCUAAAACUCAAAGGAAUUGACGGGGGCCCGCACAAGCAGCGGAGCGUGUGGUUUAA